rnacentral:lncRNA from 10 species
GAUGACUCAAGGCUUCAAACAGAUCCUUCCCCUUCUCUUUUCCUCCCCCUUUCCUCUUCCUUCAUCAUCUUCAUCUCCUUUUUUGCUAUGCUCUUCUUUUAUGCAGACUGUUUAAGAGAAGAAAGCAGACGAUGGAAUCUCUCCGAGUGAUGACAGACGGGGCUACUGGGUGACAAGUGGUGAAGCAUCCAGGAGCCAGCAGCUGCCAGUGGUCCCCUUUACCCAUGAGAAAUUGUGAAAAUAAUAAUAUAUGAAAAUCUGAAUUUUUGCCGUAUUUGUUUGAUAUCGAAAAUGAGAAAAAAGGCAAGAUGACCAGAAGCUACUGACAGAAAAAAAAUUAAGAAGCAGCACCAUUAGUGGAAGCCAACAAGCCUUUCCAUUGCUCCUGGGGAGCUGGUCCCAGAGAAGCCUACUAACUAGAUGGGAGGCAAGCAGCUGUGAGCUGUCUCUUUUAGCACCUGACUUUCCUGGCUUGGCUAAGGUA